CUUGUCCUGAAAUCAGGGGAAGAGGAUAGGAAGGGCAUAAGAAUAUGGCUCCCUUUCACUUUCUAGGGCUCAGUGGGUUUCUUCCUCCUUUGUAGGGCAGUGCCAAUUCUGUGAACCCACAGGCCUGGCCAACCCAGCAGAUAUCUUUCAUGUGAAUCCUGUGGGGCCUCUGUUAAUGACAUUUGAUGUGUCAGCCAGCAAGCAGGCUCUGGCCUUUGGGGAUUCUGAGGGCUGUGUGCACCUCUGGACUGAUUCCCCGGAGCCUUCCUUCAACCCCUACUCCCGUGAGACUGAGUUUGCUUUGCCGUGUCUCGUGGACUCACUGCCUCCUCUGGACUGGAGCCAGGACCUGCUGCCUCUUUCCCUCAUCCCUGUCCCACUCACCACUGACACACUUCUCUCUGAUUGGCCUGCUGCCAACUCUGCUCCAGCUCCCAGGCGAGCACCACCCGUGGAUGCAGAGAUUCUGCGCACCAUGAAGAAGGUGGGCUUCAUUGGCUAUGCGCCCAAUCCCCGCACCAGGCUGCGCAAUCAGGUGUGUUCAGAGUGGAG
rnacentral:lncRNA from 1 species